UUUUUUUUACUGCAUAAGCAGGAUAUGAAUUUUCCAAACCUAGGGUGAUUUCCCAGUUGGAGAAAGGAGAGGAGCCAUGGAUAACAGAGAAAGAAGGCCCAGGACAUCCCAGUGCAGACUUGAAGAGUAAAACAGA